rnacentral:rRNA from 1 species
AGAUGGCGACCGGCGCACGGGUGAGUAACACGUAUCCAACCUGCCGAUAACUCCGGAAUAGCCUUUCGAAAGAAAGAUUAAUACCGGAUGGCAUACGAAUAUCGCAUGAUAUUUUUAUUAAAGAAUUUCGGUUAUCGAUGGGGAUGCGUUCCAUUAGUUUGUUGGCGGGGUAACGGCCCACCAAGACUACGAUGGAUAGGGGUUCUGAGAGGAAGGUCCCCCACAUUGGAACUGAGACACGGUCCAAACUCCUACGGGAGGCAGCAGUGAGGAAUAUUGGUCAAUGGGCGCAGGCCUGAACCAGCCAAGUAGCGUGAAGGAUGAAGGCUCUAUGGGUCGUAAACUUCUUUUAUAUGGGAAUAAAGUUUUCCACGUGUGGAAUUUUGUAUGUACCAUAUGAAUAAGGAUCGGCUAACUCCGUGCCAGCAGCCGCGGUAAUACGGAGGAUCCGAGCGUUAUCCGGAUUUAUUGGGUUUAAAGGGAGCGUAGGUGGAUUGUUAAGUCAGUUGUGAAAGUUUGCGGCUCAACCGUAAAAUUGCAGUUGAAACUGGGAGUCUUGAGUACAGUAGAGGUGGGCGGAAUUCGCGGUGUAGCGGUGAAAUGCUUAGAUAUCACGAAGAACUCCGAUUGCGAAGGCAGCUCACUAGACUGCAACUGAC